ACACAUGAAUAUAUUUACUCAUUCACAAUCUCUCUUAUUUAUAUAAAAGAAAUGUACAUGUAAGGUGGUAACCAACACUUUCACUAAAAAUCAUUUGGCUCGCUUAAUUUUCAUGAAACUUUGACCAAGUAUUUACUUUGACCCUUUGACAAAAAUAUAAAAAAAUCAAAAUAUUUGAACCAACCAAUUUAUCCGAAAAAAUACACUGGUUACAUAGCAGUUUGACAAACACUAAUUUUGAUCAUUGAGAAACUUAAUAUUCCCUUAAUAACUCGACGUAAUUAAAACGUUUAGCUGAUUUUACAGAGUUAUCUCCCUGUAGUGUUAGGUACCACCUUAAGAGAGAAAAAACUAACAAACAUAAACCACUGUCCAAGUCCCCUGUUUUCAAAGGACACUUGUGAAACAUGGAAAAGGUUGACCUUGAACGACAUUUUGCUUAUUCUGCUUGUGAACUUUCGGUGCACGAUAUUGUUUCAAAUCAGUAGUCAGAGACUCGGUACGGACAUGAUAUAUAAAAAAGGAAUAUACUACGCUAUAAAAAUUAUGCGUUUUAACCGCUUUUCAAAAUUUUCCUUCAUCUGGAUUGUUAAAAG
rnacentral:lncRNA from 1 species